rnacentral:rRNA from 1 species
GACAGAGGUGGCAAGCGUUGCUCGGAGUUACUGGGCAUAAAGGGCGCGUAGGCGGUCGUGCGCGUCGGGGGUGAAAUCCCCGGGCUUAACCCGGGAACUGCCUUCGAUACGGCCCGACUGGAGUGCGGGAGGGGAGAGUGGAACUCCUGGUGGAGCGGUGAAAUGCGUAGAUAUCAGGAGGAACGCCGGUGGCGAAAGCGACUCUCUGGUCCGCAACUGACGCUGAGGCGCGAAAGCCAGGGGAGCAAAC